GAGUCCCCAGGCGCUGGGUGGUGAAUGCAGGCUUCGGAGCCAGGCGCACCCGGUGCCGCCGAGAGACUAGAUAACCUGCCUGACGCCCAUGAUUUGGUCAAAGCUCUGCCUGGAAUGCAGGCAUGGCUCCGGAGCCCGUGUUCCUGAUGCUAUAUCAAAAGGUGUCUCCUGACCCCAAAGCUGGGGACAAAACCCCUUGACCCGUGCGGGCCGACCAAGGUACCGCCCCCAAUGUCCACUGAGGGUCCACACUGCCUCCCAGCUGCCCAGCCUAAAAUGUUCCCCAUUGUCCCAGCAAAUGCCAGGCACAGAGAGUCCCAGCUCUGGGAGUACCCCACACAGGGGUGAAGAUUUCUGUUCCCUUCACCCAUAUAAUUAGGUUUUAAAAUCAGGUCAUAAGCUUCCUGCAACUUGAUUUUCUGGAUUUCAUUGAGUUCAUCAGAUAGUGUCAUCUAAUAAAAAUACCCAGCUAUUAUAGGGAGAAGAGCCCACGGGCAGUUCAAACUCUCUGAGAUCUGGGCCCUCUUCCCUUAACCUUGACCUUGGGCAAGGUAUGUAACCCACACUAAGCCUCAAUCUCACCUGUCAGAUAGGGACAACAAAGACUAACUUGCAAGCUGGGAUGUUGAAAUAAGAGUAACUGCCCUUCUUGUCCAGUCACCAUUUCCCUCUUUGAAAGCCACUUUCACACAGUGGUUACUGACAGAGACGCUGGAGCUGUGUGGCCUGGUUCAGACGUUGGCUCUGCUUCUUCUGGCCAUGGCUGUGUUCUCUCAGGCAAGUUGGUUGACCUCUCUGGGUCUCAGUUCCUCAUUCCUAAAGCGAGGAUCAUAGCACCGCCUCAUAGGCUGGCUGUGAGGGCUAAGUGAGUGGGGAAGAGCUCCCGUGUAAGAGCCCUACCCUCACCCCCCCACCCCCCCAAGAAUCUGGAUUACUUCCUACUUUGCUUCUGACAGGCUGAGAAAGGGCGGGGCCUGUUCUCACCACUGCCACCCAAGGGGCCUCGCAGGUCUUCUGAGGUUUUUUCCUAUUUGCGACCAUCCCUCGAGCAUGUGUGGCUGGGAGCUAAGACAGUCGUCUGAGGCCACAGGGAGGGACUCUGCCCAUCCCAUUGCCAGGCAGGGAUUCCUCCCUCCCCUCCCUCCCCCCCAUCUCCCAGGAAAGUUUUGUUUUUCCCAUUCCCAAAGAGCGCAGAAAAGCAGUCAAGAAAUGGAGAAAAAGGGGAAAGUAUUAUAAUUCUGUAAUAAUGAAAGAUAAGCAUAAUGGUUAGACUUUUAUAUAAUUUAUGAGGUGAUCCCCAAUAAGCCUAGUACUCACGUGGCACCAUCGCUAGUUAUUACAACAUCAUUGACGAUAUUCCCUGUGCUGUGCUUCCUAUCCCUGUGACUGCUUUGUAACGAUGUGGAAUUAUCUUUAAAAUUUUAAGUGAUUUUUA